ACGGAGGGUGCAAGCGUUAUCCGGAUUUACUGGGUUUAAAGGGUGCGUAGGUGGGCAGGUAAGUCAGUGGUGAAAUCUCCGGGCUUAACCCGGAAACUGCCAUUGAUACUAUCUGUCUUGAAUUUCCUGGAGGUAAGCGGAAUAUGUCAUGUAGCGGUGAAAUGCUUAGAUAUGACAUAGAACACCAAUUGCGAAGGCAGCUUACUACGGGAAUAUUGACACUGUGGCACGAAAGCGUGGGGAUCAAACAGGA
rnacentral:rRNA from 1 species